rnacentral:rRNA from 1 species
UACGAAGGGGGCUAGCGUUGUUCGGAAUUACUGGGCGUAAAGCGCGCGUAGGCGGACCUGCAAGUCGGGGGUGAAAGCCCGAGGCUCAACCUCGGAACUGCCUUCGAUACUGCGGGUCUCGAGUCCGGGAGAGGUGAGUGGAAUUCCUAGUGUAGAGGUGAAAUUCGUAGAUAUUAGGAAGAACACCAGUGGCGAAGGCGGCUCACUGGCCCGGUACUGACGCUGAGGCGCGAAAGCGUGGGUAGCAAACAGG